CUGCAAAUAUUCUCGCUUUUCUGAUUCUGUGAUACUCAGGAUGGGCUAAACAUUCGCCCUGACAAGACCACGUGUGUGCGCUCAGACCUAGUUUUUAUCUACCUCAGUCUGGUCUGAGAAAUGCCGGUGAUAAAU